rnacentral:rRNA from 1 species
UACAGAGGGGGCAAGCGUUAUUCGGAAUUAUUGGGCGUAAAGGGCGCGUAGGCGGCUUGGCAAGUGGAAGGUGAAAUCCCUCGGCUUAACCGAGGAACUGCCCUCCAAACUGCUUCGCUUGAGACCGGGAGAGGUGAGUGGAAUUCCCAGUGUAGCGGUGAGAUGCGUAGAUAUUGGGAGGAACACCAGUGGCGAAGGCGGCUCACUGGACCGGUACUGACGCUGAUGCGCGAAAGCGUGGGGAGCAAACGGG